CUUUCAACAACUCUCUUACCGGCUCUCGCAUCGAUGAAGAACGCAGCGAAAUGCGAUAAGUAAUGUGAAUUGCAGAAUUCAGUGAAUCAUCGAAUCUUUGAACGCACCUUGCGCCUUUUGGUAUUCCGAAAGGCAUGCCUGUUUGAGUGUCAUGAU
rnacentral:rRNA from 1 species